UACGUAGGCAGCGAGCGUUGUUCGGAAUUACUGGGCGUAAAGAGUGUGUAGGCGGUGCUCUAAGUUCGGUGUGAAAUCUCCCGGCUUAACUGGGAGGGUGCGCCGGAAACUGGAGUGCUCGAGCGUGGGAGAGGAAAGCGGAAGUUCCUGGUGUAGCGGUGAAAUGCGUAGAUAUCAGGAGGAACGCCUGCGGUGUAGACGGCUUUCUGGACCAUUGCUGACGCUGAGACACGAAAGCGUGGGUAGCAAACAGG
rnacentral:rRNA from 1 species